rnacentral:snRNA from 8 species
AUACUUACCUGGCAAGGGAGAUACCGUGAUCAAGAAGGCGGUUCACCCAGGGCGAGGCUCAGCCAUUGCACUCCGGCUGUGCUGACCCCU